UUAAAAUAUCAUAAAAUGAAGUUUAAAACCUUCAAUAAACUAGAAUAACAAGAGUAUAUCACAUCUAAAUCCAAUACAAAUUCAACUUAAUUAAACAUAAAACAAAGACAAUUAAAAAUAUCUAGCAAAACAACAUAAAUAAACACAGUUUAAUCCGAAACAUUCACUUUAAAACAAAUAAAAACCAAACAACCACCAUGUUUAAUCUGAAUCCACACCAGACUCACGAAACCAGUGUAGUGAACAGUUUCGGCUUACAAAUUCCAGCCUGAUUUCUAGUAACCAUAGGAUGCAUUCUAGGGGUGUAAUCGGCUCGAUUCGGUUUGGUUUUGGACCGAAAACCAACCGAACCGAUUUGAUCGGUUCUACAAAGAGGCCAACCAUUCGGUUAGCUGCUGUUUGAGCAACCGAACCGAACUGAACCGAACCAACAGCGGUUUAGUUUGGUCGGUUUUUUCAGUUUUUUUACACCUAAUUAUCAGAAUUUAAAAUAUCAUAAAAUGAAGUUUAAAACCUUCAAUAAACUAGAAUAACAAGAGUAUAUCACAUCCAAAUCCAAUACAAAUUCAACUUAAUUAAACAUAAAACAAAGACAAUUAAAAAUAUCUAGCAAAACAACAAAAAUAAACACAGUUUAAACCGAAACAUUCACUUUAAACAAAUAAAAACCAAACAGCCACCAUGUUUAAUCAGAAUCCACACCAGACUCAUCUUCAUCUUCUCUGGUUGGUGCAAUUUCUACAAAAAUAAAACAAGAAAAUCAAUAUAGAUUAUAAACAUAAUAUAGAUUAUAAAUUAUAAACAUAAACCAUGAAAGGAACUACAAAUUUCUUUUUUGCAUACCUAAUUCAAGUUUCUCAAACUCUUUAAUAAGCUCCUAUAGUUGUUAAGCACUCUAGCUAUUUGGGAUAAGAUAGGAUACUUGCUAAAAUUUACCUUCCACCAAUUCAAUGUGUCAAAAGUAUUUUGAUCACGAGACUUCUCUAAACCAUCCAUCAAAUACAAAUCCACCUCAUUCUUGCUGCUCGGCGAAUCGUUUGCUGCUCGGCGACGGACUGGUUGGAUGUUGGAGUGCUGCUCGGCUUUGGCUUUGUUACGACGGCGACCCUGCGACGGCGAUGAAUGAACGACUUCAAGCGACGAUUGGCGACUUCUCUGUCUCCCUCAGCCCCUCCUUCUCUCAAGCAUGGAGGUCGGAGGUGGAACCUUCGAAAAAUGGGGGAGAGAAGUGUGGUGACCGGCAGACUGGGUUUAGGGUUCGCGGCG
rnacentral:lncRNA from 1 species